GGACGAUUAGCUCAGUUGGCUAGAGCGCCUCGUUUACACCGAGGAGGCCGGGGGUUCGAGCCCUCCAUCGUCCA
rnacentral:tRNA from 1 species